GAUGAACGCUGGCGGCGUGCCUAAUACAUGCAAGUCGAGCGAACAGACGAGGAGCUUGCUCCACUGACGUUAGCGGCGGACGGGUGAGUAACACGUGGAUAACCUACCUAUAAGACUGGGAUAACUUCGGGAAACCGAAGCUAAUACCGGAUAAUAUCUUGAACCACAUGGUUCAAUAGUGAAAGACGGUUUUGCUGUACCUAAUAGAUAGAUCCGCGCCUCAUUAGCUAGUUGGUAAGGUAACGGCUUACCAAGGCAACGAUGAGUAGCCGACCUGAGAGGGGGAUCGGCCACACUGGAACUGAGACACGGUCCAGACUCCUACGGGAGGCAGCAGUAGGGAAUCUUCGGCAAUGGGCGAAAGCUUGACGGAGCAACGCCGCGUGGUGGAUGAAGUUCUUCGGAUCUUAAACCUCUGUUAUUAGGGAAGAACAAAUGUGUAAGUAACUAUGCACGUCUUGACGGUACCUAAUCAGAAAGCCACGGCUAACUACGUG
rnacentral:rRNA from 1 species